rnacentral:tRNA from 1 species
UGGAUUGAAGCCAGUGGUAUUUGGGCGUCUAGCUGUUAACUAGGUUUUUGCAGGUUUGAGUCCUGUCAGUCCAG